AAACCUGGUCCCUUGCCUCUAAGAACAAAACCUUAAUCCCACCACCCUCCGUCGACGGUGAUGCUCUGAUGACCCACAAAAUUACACCAUCUCACCUCCUCGAUCUCUUCUUUCCAUUUUUGCCAUUGGUAUCCUUCCAAUAGCAGCCAAACUCGUCGAAUAUUCGUUUGAAUCGAUGAUUGCUCCGCUACACAUGGCGGCGCCAAUGACAAAUGACUAAAAUCAACACCCGAGCAUCCCCACUAUCCCCUCUCCAAUAAUCCAUGGCUGACAACCCUCGAAUCCUCCAUCUCUUUGAAUCUUAGAUCGCCGUCGAGCCCUAAAAAGUAAAAAUCAAGUUCCUUUGUUGUUCUCGGUUCAAAAUGAUUUUAGUCAUAUGCUCUCUAGGAGAACAUACGAUUAAUAUCCUUUUAAACCAAAUACAUGAAGUUUGAGGAUUUGAGAAUCUUGGUUCAAAUUAUAGUAAGUUUCCUUUUCGUUUUGUAGCUUUCAUUAUGGUCGUCCUUUCUGCUUUCUUCUACUAGAUUUCUUCUCUUAGCAUUCCUUUUUACAUGCAUAUUGAGUUUUAGGAAGUUUUUUUUAUUAAUUAGUUUGCCUAUUAGGUAACUGUGAUCCACGUUAUUGUUAGUUCUGUAGUUGAAAGAAAAGGAAGAAGAGGAAAAGAAAGACGUUAAAUGACUUGAUUGCUUCUGCUUCAUUGUCGUUUCAAUCAGGGGUUUUGGUAAGAUUUUGUUUCAGGCUGGGGUUUUUUACCACUAAAUUUUGGGGCUGGUUUGGAUUAAACCUAGGAAAUCAGCAGCCCAGUGUUACUUUAGUUGGGUCAAUCUAGACCCAUUGAAUUGGGUCGUUUGGCCCGGACCUUUGUUUGGUAGAAUAGAGGUAAAAUACAGGGGUUGUAAGGGUUAGUUCAGGAAUUAUAGAAUAGGGAAUCUUCCAUAAAAGACAUGGAAGCUUCUAGCAGGGAUAUCUUGCUAAUUUUGGUUUUAUAACUUGGUUAACAAGUUUUAAAAUGAAGGACUAGAUUAAAAUAAAAAGAUUUGAAGGCUGCCCUACUUUGCUUGCCUAUAAAGGCAUUGCAAACCUGCAUUUCAAGGUAGAUCCUAAGACUGGCAGAAUUGUGAAAACUCAAAAAGGUUUUUAGGAGUCUAAAUAUAAAAGAAAACUAAUAUUUUAUUGAAAGAAAGAGAGGGCUAAAAAUAGAGAGAAAUUUGAGGCGGAUGUUGUUUUUAAUCAUUGUUCCAUGGAGACUUAAUUUUGAACUUUGGAGUCUUUUUGAAUAGCUGAAGCAAAUUUAAAAUUUACAUUGAUUUUAAAAUGGUUUGAGGUUGAAUUUUUGAAAUUUCUGGUCUAAGCUGCUUUGAAAUCACUGUUCCAUUGGUUUCAUACCUUGAGAAUUCAACCUCUUGGACCUGGGAACGAUCUGGUGCUAUUACUGUUACUUUUCUCACCUUUUCGUUUGUUUUAUCCAUGUAUUUCCUUGGCUCAUGGUUGAGGUUUGAUUGUUGAGCACGAAAUAGUCGAAGUUUUGUUAAAUGAAGACCUUAUUUGAUGCUGAAUAUCUCCUCUCUUUUACUGUUUCAUGUUCUAUAAUUAGAGUUUAAGAAAUAAAUGUUAAUUAAGGCUUCCUAUUCCUUUGAAAUAUAGUGUGUGAGAAUAAUGUGGUGUUGUACUUUGCAUUCUGUGUCCAUAAUUGAACAUUGGACUUUAAUUGUCUGAGUUCAUGUUGGAUGCUGCAUCUGGGUGCUAGUAUUUGUGAAUGUCUGGCUAAGGAUCACUCAGAUUUGGUCUUGAAAUUCAUAGUCGAUACUCUAGGGUAAUAUAUCUUUAAAUUUGUUUAUGUUUUUAGCUACAAUUAGCUGAUAUUGUCAUAUUAUUUGUGUUCAAUUAUCUAAAAAUAGAAAUGCUAACUCUUAUAGCAUGAAGUCCUGCCCGUUUAAGGUUCAGGACUGCAGAUGUGAUUCCAGCAUGAUUUGGGAUGAUUUGGAUGGUUGUUGAUUAUAUUAGCUUGCUAAACCUAUAUGUGGGCUAUUCGUGUAUUAGCUUGAGAUGUUAAGUGUGUAUUAACCGAAUGAUCUAUUCCCUCAACAUUAACUGUGAAACUGUUUGGUUUUGAGUGUGACUAAAAGCUGAAGUGUUUGCAGGUUCAAAUUAUUUAUGUCUGGUCCAAUUCUCCACAUAUCAUGCAUUUAACUUCACCUAUUCAUGCUUAAGUUCUUUAAUGUUCAAAAGGUUUUGAAUGAACUCUGAGAUUGCCAUUAGAUCUAGGUUGAUCUUCCUUAGAAUUUUAAUGUGAAUAUUUUAAGUUCAAAUGAUCAACGACUUAUGACCAGAGUUUCACUAGCAUGAUUAUGAAUUUUAUUGGGCCCAACUCGCAUGUUUGCACAGUCAGCCAUCGGUUGGCUUCGAAAGCUUGGCAUUGGGCAUCGUUUCCAGGCCCAAGUGUUGGAGCGGAUUAUCACCUGGAGGGCCACAUAUGUAGGCUACCAGGCCUCAUGUUGGGCCUAUGGCAUUUAAUUUGAAAUGUUAGCCUCUUUCGUUCAAAUAUUUUAUCAUUGGGCUAGUUCGUUGAAGAACUUUUUUUCGUUAAUGUUUGAGUAGCUAUAAUUGUAGUGGACCUUGUUCAACUUGUCAUUUCUUUGAGGUUAGGGUGUGUCAUACUAGGUAGUGCAAAAUAAUUAUGGUCGUCGUGAUUAAUUAAGAUAUACAAAUUUGAUCAAUAUUCAUAGCAAGCCUUUAGGGCCGUCUAAAAUACGAUUGUGGUUGCGUAUACGUUCGCAUAACAUGAACAUGAUCCUAAUUAAUUUGGAGUAUGCAUUGGCGCAACUUCGAUCAAACAUUUCUUAUUAAUUAAAUAGGUUACGGGCUUAAUUGAUAUUAGCUUACAUAAUCCAUUAAAUCACAUAUGACCCUCGUAUAAAUUUCUUAAACCUAGAUGUAAAAAUGACUAAAAUUUCGU
rnacentral:lncRNA from 1 species